rnacentral:rRNA from 1 species
AAAAUACGGGAGGCAGCAGUGGGGAAUAUUGCACAAUGGGCGCAAGCCUGAUGCAGCGACGCCGCGUGAGGGAUGACGGCCUUCGGGUUGUAAACCUCUGUUAGCAUCGAAGAAGCGAAAGUGACGGUAGGUGCAGAGAAAGCGCCGGCUAACUACGUGCCAGCAGCCGCGGUAAUUUU